UUGAAAGCAAUUCAAGACGUGAUAUACAGUUGUCCACAGAUGAAAACAGUGGCCCAUUUUACUUCUCUCCUGAAAGCCCUUUAUCAUGCCAGGAUCUUGUUAGUUAAAAAAUAGCCAUGGAGAAGAGAUAGCUUCCUGAAGCUGAUAAAAAGCUGACCUCUCUGCUGGUGAACAGGGUAUAAUAGCUCUUGCAUUUGGUAUGUCAUAUUUCAAACUAAAUUUGAUUUUGCCUACUUGUUACUCCUCCCCCUUCUUUAGUUGUUUCUUAAUUACUUUUGGUUUCCAAUUUCAUUUGUUUUUUC